AUUGAACGCUGGCGGCAUGCUUUACACAUGCAAGUCGAACGGCAGCGCGGGCUUCGGCCUGGCGGCGAGUGGCGAACGGGUGAGUAAUACAUCGGAACGUGCCCAGUAGUGGGGGAUAGCUCGGCGAAAGCCGGAUUAAUACCGCAUACGACCUGAGGGUGAAAGCGGGGGAUCUUCGGACCUCGCGCUAUUGGAGCGGCCGAUGGCAGAUUAGCUAGUUGGUGGGGUAAAGGCCUACCAAGGCGACGAUCUGUAGCUGGUCUGAGAGGACGACCAGCCACACUGGGACUGGGACACGGCCCAGACUCCUACGGGAGGCAGCAGUGGGGAAUUUUGGACAAUGGGCGAAAGCCUGAUCCAGCAAUGCCGCGUGUGUGAUGAAGGCCUUCGGGUUGUAAAGCACUUUUGGUGGGAACGAAAAGGACUGUGCCAAUACCACGGUUCGAUGACGGUACCCGCAGAAUAAGCACCGGCUAACUACGUG
rnacentral:rRNA from 1 species